UCUUGGUUAGCUGAGUUGGUAGAGCGCUCCACUGGAAAUGGAGAGGUCUCUGGUUCGAUAGCAGGACCACGCA
rfam:Ixodes scapularis strain Wikel colony gcontig_1108378637874, whole genome shotgun sequence.